rnacentral:rRNA from 1 species
UACGAAGGGUGCAAGCGUUACUCGGAAUUACUGGGCGUAAAGCGUGCGUAGGUGGUUCGUUAAGUCCGAUGUGAAAGCCCUGGGCUCAACCUGGGAAUGGCAUUGGAUACUGGCGGGCUAGAGUGCGGUAGAGGGCAGUGGAAUUCCCGGUGUAGCAGUGAAAUGCGUAGAGAUCGGGAGGAACAUCUGUGGCGAAGGCGAGUCUCUGGACGACUCCUGACACUGAGGCACGAAAGCUGGGGGAGCAAACAGG